AAGUUUGUAAAUAAAGCAAAUCCUUUUGUCAUGUAUCCCCGAUUAAUGCAACCUCAGAAUGCUUCAAUUGUCGAUUCUAGAGUAUUGAGCGGGAGGUUACACCUAUGGGUUAGGUCUUCACCAAUAGAGAGCGUAGGGGAAGAAGCACUACUCCUAGGAAUCAACACAUGAAAACUUUGUUAUAAAUUAUCCCUUUUCCUUAUCAGGAUCGGGACUAACAAGAAUGGUUGGGACAACAAACAUCCAUCUUGUUUGUUUUUUGGAUACUUGUAUAACCAUUGAAGAUUGUUGAAGUGACUAAUAAAACAACCUUCCCAAAUAAAACCUCUUUCGACGUAACCUCCAAACAUCAUCAAAUUGUAGACGAUGAAGCUGCAUUUACAUGUUUCUUCCUUAAUGUGCUAUCUUACGCUCACAAGAUAACUGCAAUUUUAAACUCUCUGAAAAAGAGAUUGCACAUAACUUAUUUCCAACAAUGGCCAAUUUGCAGGGUAACUUAUUUCCUGAACGGCCCUCCUCUUGUGAUUUUCGGCUUCUGCUCGUGUUGGGAUUCGUUCAACAACUUCCGAAGAAGAGCUGAGGCUGGCCAUUGUUGGAAAUUUUCCCAUUAAUGCUGUUGUCCUUCACGUCGAUCACGUGAGGAAAGUAAGACAACUUGUACUGCAGAAACAUUGCGUUGGUCGAGAUGUAGAUAGGCAGUUCGAGAACAUCACCGUCUACUUGAGGAGCAGUUUCUUCGGAUAACAACAUGGGAAUUGUACAGAGUUCCUUUGGAAAUUCACCUGACAUUCGAUUGCCUAGGAAUCGAUUGGGUGAUUCUGUUAAGACUCAAAAUCACGAACCCUAGCUUCCUGAGCUUCGAUAACCAUUGAGUUAUUUCACCGUUGAGCUCACAGCUACUCAAAUCCUGUUAGUGUAUAAGCAUUGAGCUAAUCUGUUUAUUUUGAAAUGAAUAAGCCUUGUAUUUAGUUGUGUAUUCACUUUGGUAAUUCUCACCAAGUGUAGGGCUCAUAGUGUAAUUGUGUCUAAGUGACAUGUGUAAGGAUCCUAGAAUCUAGUUAGAUGAGUGGCUGAGAUCAUCUUUCUGUUUUUCAGUAGUGAGAACAUAUAUUGUAUUUUCAUCUGUUAUGCACAGUGUGAAAGAGUAAGAACAUUCUCUCUGAGAUUUUAACAGAGAGCAAAAGCA